rnacentral:rRNA from 1 species
UUGGGAUAACUCCGAGAAAUCGGAGCUAAUACCGAAUAGUUCUUCAGACCGCAUGGUCUGAUGAUGAAAGGCGCUCCGGCGUCACCUUGGGAUGGCCUUGCGGUGCAUUAGCUAGUUGGUGGGGUAAUGGCCCACCAAGGCGACGAUGCAUAGCCGACCUGAGAGGGUGAUCGGCCACACUGGGACUGAGACACGGCCCAGACUCCUACGGGAGGCAGCAGUAGGGAAUCUUCCACAAUGGACGAAAGUCUGAUGGAGCAACGCCGCGUGAGUGAUGAAGGUUUUCGGAUCGUAAAACUCUGUUGUAAGGGAAGAACAGGUAUGAGAGGUAAUGCUCAUGCUAUGACGGUACCUUGCGAGAAAGCCACGGCUAACUACGUGCCAGCAGCCGCGGUAAUACGUAGGUGGCAAGCGUUGUCCGGAAUUAUUGGGCGUAAAGCGCGCGCAGGCGGCCUUUUAAGUCUGAUGUGAAAGCCCCCGGCUCAACCGGGGAGGGUCAUUGGAAACUGGAAGGCUUGAGUACAGAAGAGAAGAGUGGAAUUCCAUGUGUAGCGGUGAAAUGCGUAGAGAUGUGGAGGAACACCAGUGGCGAAGGCGACUCUUUGGUCUGUAACUGACGCUGAGGCGCGAAAGCGUGGGGAGCAAACAGGAUUAGAUACCCUGGUAGUCCACGCCGUAAACGAUGAGUGCUAGGUGUUGGGGGGUUUCCGCCCCUCAGUGCUGAAGCUAACGC